ACAAAAAUUGAGAUGUCUAUUUAUCAAAAUUGUCUAGCAGGUAAAACAACUAGGAAACCAUUUGAAAAAGAAACUAGAGCUGACUUUCCAUUGCAAUUUAUUCAUUCUGAUAUAUGUGGUCCAAUGAGUGAUCGUUAUCGUAGGUGGUCAAAAAUAAAAAUCAACUCAAACUAUAUAAAUAAAGUGAGUCGAGAUUGUUUCCACGG
rnacentral:lncRNA from 1 species